rnacentral:rRNA from 1 species
UACGUAGGGUGCGAGCGUUGUCCGGAAUUAUUGGGCGUAAAGAGCUCGUAGGCGGUCUGUCACGUCGGAUGUGAAAGCCCGGGGCUUAACCCCGGGUCUGCAUUCGAUACGGGCAGACUAGAGUGUGGUAGGGGUAGAUCGGAAUUCCUGGUGUAGCGGUGAAAUGCGCAGAUAUCAGGAGGAACACCGGUGGCGAAGGCGGGAUCUCUGGGCCAGUUACUG